rnacentral:rRNA from 1 species
UACGAAGGGGGCUAGCGUUGCUCGGAAUCACUGGGCGUAAAGCGCACGUAGGCGGAUCGUUAAGUCGGGGGUGAAAUCCUGGAGCUCAACUCCAGAACUGCCUUCGAUACUGGCGAUCUUGAGUCCGGAAGAGGUGAGUGGAACUCCUAGUGUAGAGGUGGAAUUCGUAGAUAUUAGGAAGAACACCAGUGGCGAAGGCGGCGCUCUGGGCCGGUACUGACGCUGAGGAGCGAAAGCGUGGGUAGCAAACAGG